AAAACUUUCAAUACUUUUAUUCAUCUCUACACUUGUCAUUUUGAAGAUACAGUUUUCAAUAAUGAUUGGAUUAAAGAGAGUCUUAACGUUGGCAUUUAUUCUUGUCAUGAUGAUUUUUAAUCUCUCAGCGAUAGCACAUCCAGUUCUGUGUCCUCGCAAUAAAGAUAUGAAGGAUUUACCACCAGAAUGUCGUCAUUCAGGACCCUUACCAUGACGAUCAUUUAUACCUGUAAUAUUUUAUAAUGAUUAUUUUUAAGUCUUAUAGACAUUUUAUUUAAGAAUUUA